UACGUAGGGUGCAAGCGUUGUCCGGAAUUAUUGGGCGUAAAGAGCGCGUAGGCGGUCCGAUAAGUCGGCUGUGAAAGUCAGGGGCUCAACCCUUGAAAGCCGGCCGAUACUGUCGGACUAGAGUCCGGAAGAGGCAAGUGGAAUUCCCGGUGUAGCGGUGAAAUGCGUAGAUAUCGUAAGGAAGACCAGUGGCGAAGGCGAAUCUCUGGACAAUUACUGACACUGAGGCACGAAGGCCAGGGGAGCAAACGGG
rnacentral:rRNA from 1 species